GACUACAGGCGUAUCUAAUCCUGUUCGAUACCCACGCUUUCGUGCUUCAGCGUCAGUCGGGCGCCGGUAUGCUGCCUUCGCAAUCGGAGUUCUGCGUGAUAUCUAUGCAUUUCACCGCUACACCACGCAUUCCGCAUACUUCUCGCCCACUCAAGAUCAUCAGUUUCAACGGCUGGAUGGAGUUGAGCUCCACGAUUUUACCGCUGACUUGAUAACCCGCCUACGCACCCUUUAAACCCAAUAAAUCCGGAUAACGCUCGCAUCCUCCGUAUUACCGCGGCUGCUGGCACGGAGUUAGCCGAUGCUUUUUCUUCAGGUACUCUCCAACACCCACACGUGGGUGACUUUGCUCCCUGACAAAAGAGGUUUACAAUCCAUAGGACAUUCUUCCCUCACGCGACUUGGCUGGUUCAGCCUCUCGGCCAUUGACCAAUAUUCCUCACUGCUGCCUCCCGUAGG
rnacentral:rRNA from 1 species